CAUUGCCUUUAUAUGCCAUUAAUUCUCGCCCUUAAGUGUAACGACUGCCUGGGAGCUUUAUUUGCGUUCUUUCGUUAAAGUUCUAAACCGAGGAGGGCUAGGAGGUCGCCCCUCAGCGAGCCGAGGCCUGGGCACAACGCGCAGCUCGCAGCGGCAGAGUCCAGCGCGCAUGCGCGGCCCCGGGCCGGCGGCGCCCGUUCACCCCCAAGUUCUGUUGAGGGACAAUUUGAGUCGAGAACGGAAGGCUUUCUACUAGUUUAAAAAGUGUUCAGGAAAACGUCACCAUCCUCAUAAUGAUACAUUUCAUAUAAGGCAAAAGCAUCCAUCCUCCCAACUGAUAAUGAUACCUCAAUUGUGCUUAAGGAGGAGUACCCUAAUCCCACUGGAUGAAACCUUAUUUCGAGUAUUCAUCAAGACUCAAGAUAGGUUAAUGAACCAUUUCUCAAAGAGUGUCAUGCUGAACACAGGCACAAGAUCACCCAGG